rnacentral:lncRNA from 10 species
UUUGUUUGUUUGUUUCUUUUAUACACUCAUUAAGUGAGUUCUCCAUCUAAAUAUCCCAUAAGGCACUUCAGAAUCAACAUAUCCAAAAGGAAACAUAUUUUACUCAUCUCCAAAUCUUUUGUUUCUCCAGCAAUUCAAGUUUUGGUGAAUGAAGCUAUGAACAAUCCAGUAAUCCAAACCAGAAACUUGAGAGUCAUCUUUUUUACACCUCCCACCACAACAUACACUUGGGGGAUACCUACUAAUUUUGAAGACCCCGGAUAGAAUUGGUCAGAUGCUUCCUUGUUCAUCAGUUGUACUAGGCACAGCAUUCUAAUGUAGCACCUAUUACACAUUUUAAAAUUUGUUUACAUGUCUCCCCUCAUGUAAGUUUGUAGGACUGGUACCUGAAAUAUACUAGGCUUACCUUACUGACAUUUUGAAAUAUAAGAUAGCUUUCCAAGGCUUGCUUUUGCCUCCUGAUUCAGGACUCUACCAUUGGCAUCAUCAGGAAGAAUUUCUAAUAGUAUUAUUGAUCAGAGUCUUCUGGAAGUUUCUGCAGGUUACACAUCAACUUACUUUUCCCUGACAAAAUAAUUCUGCAUCUAGAAACACAAACAAGUAGUCAAAGAAGUUAUAUUGGAACUAAGAGAUGAAUUACCAAAGGAAAACUGAAAUCAAGAAACAUUUGAUGAAAUUCAGGCAAUGUCUUCAGGUGCCAGAGGACACAGAAAUGUCCCGAGAACCAUUCACAUGAUCUUAAAGAAACUUCUGCUGGUUGUCUUGUACCUUUGAAGCAGGUGUGAUUGAGAUGGAUACCUUAAUUUUUUUAAAGUAAAAAUUGUUCAUUCUCUUAUGUACUUUAGCAUACUGGUAUUCUUAUCAAAAUAUGAAACAGCAUCAAGUUUAAUAUUAAUUAUAAAACACAUGGUAUAUUUAUAUUUCUGCUCUUUAUUUUCUAAAGUUAACUCAGUUAACUCUCCAUAUAGGUAUUUGGACAUGGGCUGUAACCACUUUUUAGAACAAAUACUGUGAAGAUUGUUUUAUUACAUGACAUUUUAUGAUGUGAGAUUAACACCUUUGUGUUAGUAAACAUCCUAGAUUGUUCACUUCAAUAUAGAUUUUUAAAAUGUAUAGUUAUACUUGUGCAGGAUACUAGAAAAUGAAAAUGACUGUUCACACAUGCUUUAUUAUUCAGUAAUUUUACAAGAAAAUAUUACUGUUUGAAAGAAAAUCAUGCAUGCCUAAAACUGAUUCUGUUCCAGUUU